UGGGGAAUAUUGCACAAUGGGCGCAAGCCUGAUGCAGCCAUGCCGCGUGUGUGAAGAAGGCCUUCGGGUUGUAAAGCACUUUCAGCGAGGAGGAAGGUGGUGAGCUUAAUACGCUCAUCAAUUGACGUUACUCGCAGAAGAAGCACCGGCUAACUCCGUGCCAGCAGCCGCGGUAAUACGGAGGGUGCAAGCGUUAAUCGGAAUUACUGGGCGUAAAGCGCACGCAGGCGGUUUGUUAAGUCAGAUGUGAAAUCCCCGGGCUCAACCUGGGAACUGCAUUUGAAACUGGCAAGCUAGAGUCUCGUAGAGGGGGGUAGAAUUCCAGGUGUAGCGGUGAAAUGCGUAGAGAUCUGGAGGAAUACCGGUGGCGAAGGCGGCCCCCUGGACGAAGACUGACGCUCAGGUGCGAAAGCGUGGGGCAGCAAACAGGAUUAGGUACCCUGGUAGUCCGCGCUGUAAAGCGAUGUCGAUUUGGAGGUUGUGCCCUUGAGGCGUGGCUUCCGGAGCUAACGCGUUAAAUCGACCGCCUGGGGAGUACGGCCGCAAGGUUAAAACUCAAAUGAAUUG
rnacentral:rRNA from 1 species